rnacentral:rRNA from 1 species
AGCGAUCUGGAAUGUAAAACCAAGUAUAACAAAGGGGCUACUAGGAAUGACUAGGCAAUGGAACGGAAUGAGGUCAAAUCCAAACUGUCGAAUCCUAUUAAGGGUAUGUUAAUCAACCCGGUCUCGACGAUCAAGGCCAAAAGGUAUCUCACUUACCCUGGAAACUGAAACAUCUUAUUACCAGGAGGAAAGGAAAUCAACCGAGACUCUAUUAGUAGUGGCGAGCGAACAUAGAUAAGCUAACUUUAUUAGAUUUGCCUUUUACAAUUGGAAUUACAUCACAUUGAAAAAAGGCAAGCUUAGAUAACCUCUGUUUUCAUUUGACCCUCUUAGGCUACCUAUGCCGCUAGAGGGUGCAGUAGGAAAAUAAGCUAGGGGAAUAAAAACAUAAAUAAUAGCUUGGAAUAGCUAGCCAUAGAUGGUGAUAGCCCAGUAAAAAUUAUGAGUUUGCUCCCUUUCCCUUUAGCAAGGAAUCUAAUUCCCUAAAUAGUUUAAUUAAUUGGCGGCUUAUUAAGCUGCUUUUAUAUACCCUGUCUAUUAAGGCAGAAAAGGUGUACCAUCAUCAAAGCUAAGUAUGCUCCAUUGACCGAUAGUGCAGAGUACCGUGAGGGAAAGUUGAAAAAGUAGGUAGUAAACUGGUGAAAAGCCUGAACUAGUGGCUCUAUAAGCAGCUGGAAUCAUAAUAACCAUUGACUCCAACUCAAUGUAUGAUGACAGCGUACCUUUUGCAUAAUGGGUUACCUACCAUUAGACCCGAACCCAGGUGAUCUUACCAUGGCCAAGUGCUAUUUAAUAAGACUGAACGGGUGUCCGUUGCAAGGGACUCCGAAGAGCUGUGGUAAGGGGUGAAAGGCCAAUCUAACCUGGAGAUAGCUGGUUUUCUGCGAAACCCGUUUUAGCGGGUAGUCCAUUUAUUAACUUAAUUUGUUACUAGACGGUACGGCACUGGAAGCCACGCUAUUUUAUAGCCUAAUUGGGGGGCUGUCAUGGCUCUAUCAAUGGCUUCUAACCCCGGAAAUGUAUAGUAUACAAUAAUGGACAAUCAGACGAUUCGUGAUAAGGCGAUUUGUCAAAAGGGAAACAGCCCAGAACAGGAGUGAAGGUCCCUAACAAACUACUGAGUGAACAUAAGGCAGUCCUUUCCAGUGUCUCUCCACAAAGUGGGCUUGGAAGCAGCCACCUUUUAGCGAUAGCGUAACAGCUCAGUGGUUUAAGUUCCCUAUAAAAAGGGUAAAUACCUGGUGAGGGCGCCAAAAAUGUAACGGGUCUAUAGUAGUUGUCUCUCUAUUUCAAUUCAGAAUAAGGAGGGAGUGGCAGUUAAUACAGGUGCAGAGCUCCUUUACUGCUUCACCGAAACCCUGUCCUAGUUGAAAAUUCUAGGGGUAGCAGAAUAUCCAGCAAAUGGAAGGAAGCUUGCUCAUUGAGUUAGUGGACAUAGCUGGACUAAGAAUGCUGACAUGAGUAGCCUAAAAGGAGGUAAAUUUCCUCUUCGCCGAAAGCAGAAGGGUUUCAUUUGUUAGGUCUAUACCUAUAUGAUUAAAGCAACGGCCUCUAAGACAAUUAAGAAAGGAAACUUUCAUGUGUCGAUGAGUAAUUCUUCUGUAGGGCAGUAACCUUCCUUAUUAAUUUAUCUUGUUUUCAGAGGUAUAUUUCAAAGAGUAAGGUUCAGGAAAGAGCCCUACGGAAAACUCCAAAUUUGGAAACUCUCCAUAUUUUUUUGGGGUUAAUACUAACCGUACCCUAAACCGACUCAGGUCUGCAAGUAGAGUAUACUAAGGCGUAGAGAUAAUCGUCUUGAAGGAACUCGGCAAAAUGACCCCGUAACUUAGGGAGAAGGGGUGCCACUAAUUUGUGGCGGCACAAAACAGGGGGGCGCGACUGUUUACUUAAAACACCGGACUCUGCUAACACUAAGGUGGAUGUAUAGAGUCUGAUACCUGCCCAAUGCUAGAUAAUCAACUAAGCCGUUUUAGGAUGGCAAAGGAAGCUCUAGUUAAUGGCGGCUGUAACCUUGACGGUCCUAAGGUAGCGAAAUUCCUUGGCAUUUAAAUGAUGUCCCGCAUGAAAGGUUUAACGAAGCUCCUACUGUCUCCAAGACGAACUCGGCGAAAUUGAAUUAUCCGUGAAGAUGCGGAUUACCUCCAGCUAGACGAGAAGACCCUUUGAAGCUUUACUGUAGCUAGUUAGUGUGUAAUUGCUACUUAGAUAUUAAGGGAGUCGACUAGACAUGAUACCUUGAUCUUUGUAGUAGAUUUCACUAUUAAGGCUGGCUAGUAGACAGUUUGUCUGGGGCGGCAAUCCUCACCUAAAGUAACUGAGGAGUCCGAAGGUAUGUUUUACUAGGUUGGAAACCUCUUUAUGGCUAUGGUGAGCCUAAAUAAGCGUAAUGGUAUAAGCAUGCUUAACUGUGAGACCUACAAGUCAAUCAGAUAAAACCCUUUCCACGGUAUUAUUCUUGUCAUAAUGAAGGAGUACGCUAAUUAUAAGGGUAUAGGUAACUAGGGCAUAGUGACCCGGUGAAACAUUAUGGAAUGUUCAUCGAUCAACGGAUAAAAGCUACUCAAGGGAUAACAGGCUGAUCUCCCACGAGAGUUCAUAUUGACUGGGGGGAUUGGCACCUCGAUGUCGGCUCAUCCUAUCCUAGAGCAGAAUAAGGUUCUAAGGGUUCGGCUGUUCGCCGAGUAAAAGGGUACGUGAGCUGGGUUAAGUACGACGCGAGUCAGUACGGCUUCUAUCUACUGGAGGGAGUUGGAAGUAAAGAGGAAGCUAUCUUUAGUACGCGAGGACUUAGAUGGAGUGACCUCUGGUUUACCAGUUAUCAAAGGCUAAUAAAGCUAUGGUAUGGCUGGAAAGCUACGUCACGAAUAGAUAACUGCUGAAGCCAUAUCAAGCAGGAAACUAAUCCUUUAUACUUCCUUUUAAACUUAGAAUAGACCAUUCUAUUAAUAGGGUCUGGGUGUAAUAGCAGUAAUGUUUUCAGCCUCAGAUUACUAAUUGUUAAGCAACUUGGUUUUACCAGAUCGUU